AAGUCGUAACAAGGUUUCCGUAGGUGAACCUGCGGAAGGAUCAUUAACGAGUUAGGGUCUCUCUGGCCCGACCUCCCAACCCUUUGUCUACUUGACCAUCGUUGCUUCGGCGAGCCCGUCCUCACGGACCGCCGGAGGGAUCUUUACUGGCCCUCUGGUCCGCGCUCGUCGGUAGCCCAACCUUUAAAAUCUUUAACUAAACGUGCCUUAAUCUAAGUACAAUUAUUAAAUAAAAGCAAAACUUUCAACAACGGAUCUCUUGGUUCUG
rnacentral:misc_RNA from 2 species